GAUGAACGCUGGCGGUGUGCCUAAUACAUGCAAGUCGAGCGAACAGACGAGGAGCUUACUCCUCUGACGUUAGCGGCGGACGGGUGAGUAAAACGUGGAUAACCUACCUAUAAGACUGGGAUAACUUCGGGAAACCGGAGCUAAUACCGGAUAACAUGUUGAACCGCAUGGUUCAACAGUGAAAGACGGUCUUGCUGUCACUUAUAGAUGGAUCCGCGUCGCAUUAGCUAGUUGGUAAGGUAACGGCUUACCAAGGCAACGAUGCGUAGCCGACCUGAGAGGGUGAUCGGCCACACUGGAACUGAGACACGGUCCAGACUCCUACGGGAGGCAGCAGUAGGGAAUCUUCCGCAAUGGGCGAAAGCCUGACGGAGCAACGCCGCGUGAGUGAAGAAGGUCUUCGGAUCGUAAAACUCUGUUAUUAGGGAAGAACAAAUGUGUAGGUAACUAUGCACGUCUUGACGGUACCUAAUCAGAAAGCCACGGCUAACCACGUG
rnacentral:rRNA from 1 species